GAGUGAAGAGGGACAAGCUCAAAUUUUAAAUCUAUCGGGUUUUACCUGCAUCGAGUUGUAAUUUGAAGAGGCGUUUUCUGCGUAUUUGGUUAGCCCAAGUCCUAUUGAAUGAGGCAUCAUGGAGGGUGAUAAUCCCGUCCGGUUGAUCAUUUGCGUUUACGAUACGCUUUCUAAGAGUCAAGUUGUUUGGGAUUGCAGCUUAAAAUGGGAGGUAAAUUUCUCCUAAGGCUAAAUAACGGCGAGAGACCGAUAGCGAACAAGUACCGUGAGGGAAAGAUGAAAAGAACUUUGAAAAGAGAGUUAAACAGUACGUGAAAUUGUUGAAAGGGAAACGAUUGAUGCCAGUCGUACCUUCGGGUAAUCAGCCUUUCGGGUGCGAUUCUGUGGAGUGUGAGGAGCUUAACACCUUCAUGCUUUGCAUAUUUGUGCUCUUGGGUGUACUUGCCCGUGUGGUUGGUUAACAUCAAUUUUGGCGGUCAUAAAAUGACUGGAGGAAUGUAGCUUUGAUCUCGUAUUGAAGUGUUAUAGCCUUCGGUAGAUGUGAUGAUCGAGAUUGAGGAUUGCAACGGAUACCCUUCGGGGCUACCUGUCUGGUCUCUGAUCGUUGCUUUGGUGCCGAAAGCGUGCUUACGGUUAUCAAAGUCGAUGGUCAAUAGGUCAGAACGGGUUAAAUUCGUUA
rnacentral:rRNA from 1 species